rnacentral:tRNA from 1 species
GGAGAGGUACCCAAGCGGUUAAGGGGCUCCCCUGCUAAGGGAGUAGCGCUGUAACAGGCGGCCAGGGUUCGAAUCCCUGUCUCUCCGCCA